GGGUACUUAGGUUAAACAAACUAGAAGCCUUCAAAGCUUCAAAUAGGGGCUCAAUCCCCCUAGUCCCCG
rnacentral:tRNA from 1 species